AGAAGAUAAGGAUGGGUCUGAAAGCCUGAGUUUGAUUCAUAUCGUUGGUUGGGUUUUAUACUGAAACCCAACGGUAACUUCAACAGUAAAAACGAAAUAACAAACGCGGGUAAAAACACGUGUCCCCGUUUGAUACAUCAACAACUAAACAUAAACGGAAAUGAACGGAAGUUAAACGGAAAGCUAAAACUCGUCGUUUCAUUAAAUCUCUUCUCUUCUCUUCUCGACGUUGACCAACGGUCUUCUCUUAACGCCGUGUGUUCUUGGCUGCAUUUCAUAC
rnacentral:lncRNA from 1 species